CAGAUCCGUAUUUGUAUAGUACCAACUCUUGAGCUAGUUUUAUGAGAUACUAUAGAUAAGUAUUUGUACAGUACCAACUCUUGAGACUCGGUCAAGGCAUGAAAGCAGUUAGUCCCCAAUUCUUUAGAGCUUCUUAUUUCAUCUUUGUUUUACUUUUUCCUUUUUGAAUACUAUUCCUUGCUCUCAGACACUCGUACCACUUUUUCCAAUCUUAUGAGCAGGGAAGGGAAUAGCUAACUUACAGUAGGAAAAGAAUAGGAUUACAGAUAUUAUGGAAGAGAAUAGGAUUACGGACGAGCAGGGAAGGGAAUAGCUAACUUACAGGCUGGAGGAAGAGAAUAGCUAACUUACAGUAGGGUAGGAAGAGAAUAGGAUUACUUACAGUAGGGAAGGGAAUAGCUAACUUACAGUAGGAAAAGAAUAGGAUUACAGAUAUUAUGGAAGAGAAUAGGAUUCAAGAUCUUAUGGAGGAGAAUAGGAUCACAGAUAGUAUGGAAGGGGAGUCCUACCUCUUUGAGAAAGAAGAGGAAAAUCAAGAGCUAGGAAAGAAAGAGAAGGCUUAAGGCUAUCAAUUCCUUUUAAAAACUAUGUUUUCAAGGAUUCUAUCACCACCGUAAAGAAAAGAGCCCAAGGAGGACAACUGGUUCAAGAGUCAACUCAAAGGUUAUGACCCGUAAGAUAAGGCAGGCUCUUUUGAAGGAAAAAGUUAAAGCAAGUUCACAAGCAACCGUAACAACUCCCGUA
rnacentral:lncRNA from 1 species